rnacentral:lncRNA from 1 species
CACACAUGCAUGGUUUUUUUGUUUUUUGUUUUUUCUUCUGUCGAGUAGCAUAAAAUAUUCAGGAAAGUUUUCUUUUAGUGAGAUCCAGUUCCAGAAGACUGUUCCCAUUCCUGGCUUCACGUACUCUUCUAAAUCAAAUCACGCCUUCAUCUUCGAUUCUCUCUAGCUGCCUACCCUGGUGGGUUUACCGUACACUCAUAUUUCAAUAUGUAUUUCAUGACUCUAACACUACGCCUGGCGAGACGCUCUGUUUUUCCUUCCCUUUGUGGGCCGUACUUUUUCAGAGCGUUUGGAAGGAUCCUAUUCACUUGGCUUCUUGUGACAUUUUUGAUGAGUGAUGCAAAGUGAGUAGAAAGAGGAGUUUUUCAGAUGGAGAGGUAGGGGACUUUGAGUGCACGUGUGUGAACGUUUUAAUAAGAUUUUCCCCACACCCUGGCCCAUAUCCUCCCAAUUUUCCUUGAGGAAUGACAUGGAUAUAAAGGCUUUCCUAGAUGUGGCAAUUUAAGAGAAUACUUACAUUGUGAGAUUGGAACGGCCUGAGGCAAUGCCUUUAUUUCCUUGUCAAAUCUCAUAAACUGAAAGGUAUUAAAGAAAUGGGGCUGGGGACUUGGAGAGGAGAGAGUCUUCUGUUUCGAUUCCUUUUCUUCCUGUUCCCUCAAUGCUGCCCUGAGGGGCAUGAAGCUGACACGUGGGGGGUAGUCCUUGAAGAGCCAGGCACGUGACCAUUCCCCUCCCAGAGACCUGUUGGAGAUAGAUGCCCUGAGAGGGUCCCUUCUCUCUCAGUCAGGAGACAGACUGUGAACUGCGGCCAUCCUGCCCCAUUCAGACCGGGGGUUGGCAUCUGCGAAAUCUGCAUCUGUGAAAUUUCUCUGAGAGACUGGGGUUAGGAACUGUGUCAAGAGCUCUCACAACUUGAGGGGGACUCUGAUACCUUAAACAAUAAUAAGAAUAACAAUAAUAACGAACAGCAAUCCUAGGAAUAGCUAAUAAUGCCUAACUCCAUUGAACGCUUCUCUGUGCCCGCAGUAAUGCUAAAUAUGUUACAUCUAUUAUUUUACAGAAUUCUUACAAAAAGACUUUGCAGUUCAUGGCUGUUAGGGUCUCCACUUACAGGGAAAAUGUGUUUUGGAGGUCUCAACAUGCUUACUCACAGUAAAUAUGUGAUGUAGCAGUGACGCAAAUUGGACGGCAGAACCUGAGCUCGUGAACGUGAUUUUGUCAUCUGCUAAUGAUCACUGCUAUUUGCCCAGUUAGUUCACAGGAGGAUUUUGCUAGAAAAAAAUUUCUUUUUUUCUGUAAAAAGAUUUAUACCAGGAUUUAGAAGUCCAUGCUAUCGGAUUGUGAUAACUUUCCUCCAAAAGCCUCAGAAAACGUUCUUCACAGUUGUUUUGAUAUAAUAUCUAGCAAUAGCUGUUAUUCUCCCAUCCUUUGAAUAUCUUAACAGGCAAGAGUGGUUUUAGGCAUUUUCACUUUCAGAAAUCUCUCCACCCUUCCUCAUAUCAAACGUAUUUUAAUGUACUCACAUCCCCAGCUCGGUUUAGUUUCUCUCUGAAAAAUAAGACUCGUGUUGAGGAGCAGUUGAACAAGGAGCCGAAUGAGUAGUUGACAUGCUACAUCUCACAGACAUUUAAUUAGAUUAAUUUUCAUUUUUGUUCAGGGAUUUUUUUUUUAGCUAAAAUUUCCCCCCAAUACAUAUUAUUUUUCAGAACUGAAUCCUUUUUAGACGUGCUUGCAUAGCUCAUGGGAUCAGGUCUCCACGAAGAGAUACAAACAGGCACUCUGGUGGAGCAUGGGGUUGAGGGCUGUAGGUGACAACCUGCCGCAGUCCCAGGAGCACUGGCUCUUCCAGCUGAAGCGGGAAGUCAUUUUACAUCUCGGGGCCUCGGUUCCUCUGCUUCAAAUGAAAGGCAGACACUCAGACUAUCAGAAUGAUAGUUACAUUUUUAUUUAUUAUUUUAUUUUUUAUUUUUCUGUAUUUUAAGAGAAAUGCCACACCAUGGCAUAUGGAAGUUCCCAGGCUAGGGUCCAAUCAGAGCGACAGCUGCCGGCCUAUACUACAGCCACAGCAAUGCCAGAUCCUGAACCCCCUGAGCUGGGCCAGGGAUGGAACCCACAUCCUCGUGGAUACUGUUACCACUGAGCCACCACGGGAACUCUAGUAGUUACCUUUCCAAUUUAAAACUAUUUUUCUAUCCAAGAGAGGGUUUAUUAUGCACCGGGUGCUGCAUGAAUGUUGGCAUGCAGGAGCUCUCAGUGGUGGAAGACUGAGCCUGCUCUUCCUAGGGGAGGAAGGCUUAGGCGACCCUGCAGGCUAAGUCAGGUGUCACCAGGUCUCCCAAGAAAAGCGAAAUUGGCGAAGGAGGUAGAGGGUGGAAGGAACCUUUGUUUUAGGAAGCCGGUCACAGGCGUCCUGUUGAAGGAGGUGGCAUUUGAGCAAAGACGUUUAGUAAAACCAUGUGUGCCUAACACUUCCUAGAGCACGAGGAAGGGUAUGAAGAUUGGAGGUAGCAGGAGGGGCAUGGUGGCAGCAGGACACAGACAUGGCACAGAUGUUUCUAGAACGUCAUGCCAUUUCCCUGACUCCCCAGGCUGGCCGUGCUCUGAGUGCUUAGCAACCAAAAUAACAUAGAAUUCCAUUUGGUGUCCAUAUUCUCCUCAAAAAAUGUGUUAAAAAAUUACAGAAUUGCAACCCUGUGCAGAAGAGAUUUUUUUUUUUUUUAAAGUUUACCUGAUGCAAAUUCAAGUCUGUGAAUUUACUGUAAAUGCCAAUCUAAGUUUGCAGUAAAUUAUUAUGGAAGACACAAAGUAGUACAUAAUAAGACUGAAAAAGACAGGAAGCGAUGGUUUAAUUUACCUCUGCCAUGCAGUGGUAUCGUAGAUAAAAUGUCAUCAGCCCUGUUUUACAUACGACAUCCGAGGUCACAUGGAUAAUAAAUGGAAGACAGUGAGUCAUGAUCCCGGCCUCACCCCGUACAGAGUGUUCAGCCUUGCACAUCAGCUGCUUCUCAAAACGUACACGUCGGUUUUUCAUAUUGCCUGAAGAAAGCUGAGCAUCAUUAUAAAUGCGGGUCCCUUUACCCACGAGGCGGCCAGGAUAAGGUUCCCCACAGAAAUCCAAACAAUACUUCAGCUAAUAAAUGCUUGCGUGAGGGCCACAGCCCAUGGAAGGAGGUGACAGAGAUACGGGAAGAAAGAAAGUGCUCCGGGAGCAGAGGAGAGAAGGAAAGCAGUGACAGGAAUCACAAAUAAGUAUCUAGAGGCCUUUCUCGUCGCAUUCUCCCUGAUGGAGUUUCUGGCCGUGGACACUUGUACCUUGAGCUUUCUCACUUCCAGCUCCUGGACUUCGUCAUGAGCUUCGGCACGGGGAGAAAGGGAGAAUCUGGAAGAUUCACGCUGGAGAAAGGAUGACCAGUGGCUCCUCACCCUGGCUGGGCAUUGGGAUCACCCAGGGAACUUUGAAAAAUAGCAAUUCCUGGGUAACGCCCGUGACCAAUUACUUCAGGAUGUCUGGGGUUGGUCUAACACAUAGGUAUUUUUAAAGCAUGUCUGUGUAUUUCCAAGUUUCUCCUUUGUUUGAGAACAACUAGAUAAACAGAAGGAACACAAGACGUAAAAAAAGGGGGGAGGGCAGGACUGGUGGAAUGAACACCUUUGUAGUUUAGGCUCAAGGAAUUUUGCAGAUUGAAAGAGUUCCGUGGUAAAGAGACAAGGUUCAUGGGAGCAUUUCCAUCUGUAGGGAUGACCCUGGGAAUGGUAGAGCCGGAGAGGAAGGAGUUUUAAGAUAUUUUUCUCGGCAGCAAUAACAUAUUCCAUUUUGUAAACCCAAAUCCUCCAGUGGUUUUUCAAAAAUCUAAGUAAAAGGCAGAAUUCCUUUUAAGUUUUUUUUUUUUCCUCUUAAGAUUGGUAUUCUUUUAUUUAUAUCAUGCAUAGGACACAUGAGGCCUCUCUUACUUGGGGAUUACAGAAGUUUGAAUUGGUGGAUAAAAAUAAACUUCUUGAUUAUGUGAGAAGGAAUACGUGAGAAGAAGAAGAAUAAUAACAAUAAUAAUCAAUCUAAUUACCAAACAGUGAGCAUAUGCCAAUAUUCUUCUUUUAGAUGUAUUAAAUCGUGUCGUUGUCCCAGUAAUGUAAGGUGAGUGCUAUUAUUGUGUCUGUUUUCAAGUGAGAAAAUGAAGCAAAGCGAGAUUGAAGGAAUGUUUCCAGGUCGUAGAGUUAGAGAGUGUGGUAGACGCUAAAUGCAAGUCUAGACCGAUUUAUUCCCAGGGGCUGCAUUUUAAACCACAAGCUCUCCUGCCACGAAGAAAGGAGAACCAUCAUAAGUCGGGAAAAGAGUAUCACUGGAGCGUGCACAGAAGCCAUUUAAGGAAAAGAGGGAUGCAAGGGAAAGGGUUCGGAGAGACGAUCAAGGGCUAGAAGGCAGCAGGGUCUGUAGAGUUGAGAAUGGCAACACCAGGGGUGCUUCUGGCAGUGGUUUCUACAUCAGGGGAAAUUUGUGAACCCGAGAAACUGAAAGUUGCUUUCUCCUCCGUCAUGAGUCAUUGAUUCCAUCCAGUUCAGGUAUUGAAAACAGUAACCUCGGAUGCAAGGAGUCUAGGAAUUUUCAGAGAACAAAACAUAAAAUGCUAAAGAAAUGUAGUAAGAAACCAGAGUUUGGAGAAUGCUGCUUAGCCGUGUUAACACAAUGAACAUCAGUGCAGUGAUGUUGCGAAUACAACAAAGUAGAUGAGUCAUAAAUGUGUGUGUUACAUUUCCAUCUAUCAUGCAGGAAAGAUAGGAACCUGGAAAUGUGUCUGCUGUUCUUGGAAGUUUAAAUGAUUUAAAAAAAAAAAGAAGAACUAAGGUGUUUAAUUAUCAGUGACACUUUUAGUUUAUUAAAAACAGAAGAUAACUGGGAGUUUCCAUCGUGGCGCAGCAGAAAUGAAUCCCACCAGGAACCAUGCGGUUGCAGUUUCCAUCCCUAGCCUUGCUCAGGGGGUUAAGGAUCUGGCAUUUCUGUGGCUGUGGUGUAGACUGGCAGCUGUAGCUCCGGUUAGUCCCCUAGCCUGGGAACCUCCAUAUUGUCCCGAGUGCAGCCCUAAAAAAAGAAAAAAAAAAAA